GUUCAGUGAUGUUUUACAAAUGUCUGACCUGAAUGCUUUAAUGUAGACGGUUCCUUACUGAGUAA